UGCCCUAGUGUUUCUGUGUCCUCGGUGCCACAAGCAAAGGGCUGUUUGUUGAAACGUUACAAAUGUUUUGUUUUGAAGGGCCUGGAAUUUGGCCUUUGGUGGGGCAAAUAUACAGUCCUGCUCACCAUUAUUGGCACCCAUGAAGUUUAAGUACAUAAUGUGGAAUAUCUCCUGAAAAAAAUGAAUCUAGUGAAACAACUUUUUUCUAUAGAGAAUUUGUGUUUGAUACAAAAGAGCAAAUGAUAAACAACAAUUUAAAACAAUAAACAAUGGGGGGGGGGGGAAUAGAAAACUGAAAGCUUGCUGUGUCACUAACAUUGGCACCCUUUUCUGUAAAUCAGUAUGGAAACUCAUUAUGACUCACCUGUGGUAAAUCACAAAUGAGAAUCACCUGUGAUAAAUUGUCUGUGCCCAUGUGACAUGAAUUAGCCAAUGAAUGAUGACUCCCGUGUUUUAAAAAGCCACCUGUUAUUCCCUGUUCCUUUGUCACAAUGGUGAAGACAAAGGAGCUGUCUGAGGACAUCAGAAGGGCUAUUAUUAGCUUACACAAGACCUCCAAAGGAUAUAAGGCCAUAUCCAAAGACCUUGGUGUCCCUGUUUCAACAGUGCGUAAUGUUAAGAAGUUUGCCAAGCAUGGAACUGUCAAGAACCUCCCUGGACGUGGGGGGAAGUCUUCAAAGGUUGGUGCGAAUGGUGGAAAAAACACCACGUCAAACAUCCAAAGACCUAAAGGCCAACCUGGGACAGUCUGGGGUCAUGGUUUCAACAAGUAUCAUACGCCGCACACUAAACCAAACAGGGCCUUAUGGGCGAAGGCCAAGGAAGAAACCAUUGCUGAGGAAAAGACAUAAAAAGGAACGACUGAUCUUUGACAACCGCAGUCCUUCUGGGUUCUCCGUAUCACAGGAAUCAUGAAAUCAGAGAUACUAUCCAGGAUAUAAAUUCUGCAGCAAGGUCCAGUUCCUGUUUUUUUUUUUUUUUUCAUUUAUGUAAUCCCCAUAAUUUAAAUGUAAUAUGCAGUAAUGCACUGCAAUAGUAAUAUUGCAUUCAAAUUAAUUCCAGGUUUUGCUUUUUUAUGCCAUACAAAACAUUACAUCACAUAUCACUAAAUGUAAUUAAUCAGACAUUCAAUCUCCAGCUAGCUAAGUCGCUAUUGCGACUUGGCUAUUUAGACCAUGUAAGAUGGUAUGUCUAUUUGUAGGUCAGUUUGAAAAUGUAAUAGGCUGCUUCACUUUGAAAAUGCAAAACAUUGUUUCCCCCUGCGUACCCCCUACGUCCCUUUGUGUACCCCAUUUUGGGAAACACUGCUCUAAGUGACGCAAAAUGUUUUUGUCAUGGGUGUUUCAUUGGUGUUAUUUCCGUUAUGUUCUGUAGGUUAGUUGAGGUUGAGAAGGAGAGAGAGCGUACACGUUAUGACAAGCCGAAUGUAGGAUUAAGUUAGGCUGGACACUUUUUCUACCUAUAGGUUUAGUUAAAAGAGAGCAAUGCAGGCAGUUGUGAUUCUUAUCUUUCUACCUUUAUCAUCUGCUGUAAUCCAUUCCCUGCAGUACUUCUACACGGCCACAUCAGGAAUCUCAAACUUCCCAGAGUUUUUUGCAGUUGGAAAGGUUGAUGGUCUGGUCGUCAGUCAGUAUGACAGCAACACACGAAAUUGUGUUCCCAGGCAGGCAUGGAUGAAGGAGAAUCUGGAUCAGGAGUACUGGGAAUCAGAGACCAGGCUGGCUAGGACCGCUGCGGGGGCCCUCAAAGAGGGCAUUGGGAUUUUAAAGGAAUGCUUUAAACAGACUGAGGAAGGAGUGCAUGUUCUCCAGAGACAUUAUGGCUGUGAGUGGGAUGAUGAGAGCGACAUCACCAGUGGCUAUGAGGAGUAUAGUUAUGAUGGAGAGGACUUCAUCUCACUGGAUCUGAAAAACAUGAGAUGGGUGGCUGUGAAAGAACAAGCAGUCUGGAGCAAAGAGAAAUGGGACCGCUACGACUUUAAUGGCAGGAAACAGUACUUCACCCAAGAUUGCCGUGAUUGGCUGAAGAAGUAUGUUCAGUACGGGAGCAGUUCUCUCGGAUGGAAAGUCCCCCCUGAAGUGUCUCUGAUCCAGAUGUCAUCUUCUACAGUGGUGUGCCACGCCACAGGGUUCUAUCCAGCUACGGUGAAGAUCAUCUGGAGGAGAGAUGGAGAGGAGAUGCAGAAGGAUGUGCAUGUGGGAGAGACGCUGCCCAAUGGGGAUGGAACCUUCCAGAAGAGAGCUGAGCUCACAGUGUCACCUGAGGAGAGAGAGAGAAGUCUGUACAUCUGUGAGGUGGAACACGCAAGUGGACUCAUCAGGAAGACCCUGCCAACACUCAUCACCCUGACUGAGGAAGAAGGAAAAAUUCCUGUCGCCAUUAUUACAGGAUGUAUGAAUACACAUCUUGAUUUUUUUUUCCUACACGAAACCUUCCUCUUUUUUUUGUUCUUGGAUUUGCUUUUGCAGCUAGUAUUAUAGUUGUUGCCUUGAUUGCUCUUAUUGGAUUAGCGAUUAGGGCCGUGUUUUGGAUAAAGAAGUAGAAAGAGCGACUUCAAUGGCAGACCAGCAUGCUCGAUUGUGUCACACAGUUGCUCAAAUCCAUCCUCAGCUGUGGUACGGCCUUGCAUUGUUUUUACACAAAGUAAUUCCUCUGUCACUUCGAACUGGUUGUUAACACCACUGUCACGAUCCAAGACACAGCGUGCCCUCCAAGACAGCAGAGGGCACAAAGGAGGCGCCGUGAGGCCGGCUCGACCAGACUCACGAAGAAGUGAGGCGCCAUCUUUAAAAGCAACAGAAAGCUGUUUGUCAUUGCUCAUUCAUGUUCUCAUGCUAUUAGCCCUUUGUCUUGAAACACUUGUUUGCCUCUUGGAAGUGGAUACUCUGGAUCUGGAUACCCAGACUAUGAAUUACGGAUUACGAUUUGGAUUGUUUGCCGGGACUCUCUCUCUCUCACUCACGGUAUCGAACCCUGCCUGUCUUUUGAUCUUUCCCUUGCCUUGUCCACUUGGAAACCUGUGCUACACUGUUUUGAUGUUUGUGCUCUGAUCCUGGACUGCCUUGUGACCCUUGAUUAUUGGACUGUUCUGAUUUAUUUCUGAAUGGACUGAAUCCAUUGGAAUUCUAAGUUACUUAAGUGUGAAGCUAUUUGUUUAUUGCCUUUCUGAAAAGAGUAUAUUCUCUGUUGGUUAUUUCUCAGUUAUUAAAGACCAAAGAAUUGAAGUUUAAA